CCCUUCUCAGGAAGGCACCUGGAGAGUUUCCAGUACUCUACCAGUUUUAACUACAGGAGGGAGGAUCAAGCAGAGGCCUACCCCUUCCGUUCCUAGCUCAGCCAGUGGCUAGCGAGUGGAAGGCAAUCUGCUACAAAU